rnacentral:misc_RNA from 1 species
AACGCACGAGACCUGCGGACCUGCGGAAGGAUCAUUACCGAGUUAGGGUAGUCACUCACUGCCCGGCCUCCCAACCCUGUGUCUACCACACUUUGUCGUUGCUUCGGCGGACCGGUUGACCAACUGGUCGUGACCGCCGGGGGCUGGCUCUGUCCCCCCUGGAGAGCGUCCGUCGAUGGCCCAACCACAAAACUCUUGUACCGAAACGUGUCGUCUGAAUUAUAUUUGAGAAAUCAAAAA